CAAUAGCGUAUAUUAAAGUUGUUGCGGUUAAAAGCUCGUAGUUGGAGUUCUGCCAGGUGCCGCCUGUCCGCCCCAGUGGUGAGUACGUGGCGCGCAUUUGGCCCUUUCAAGGGGAGCGUAUCUGCACUUUAUUGUGUGGUGCGGGAUCCUUGACUUUUACUUUGAGGAAAUAGGAGUGUUCCAAGCAGGCUCUCGUCGUGCACAGCUCAGCAUGGAAUAAUAGCAUUGGACCUCGAUUCUAAGCUGUUGGUUGCCAGAAGCGAGGUAAUGAUUAAUAGGGAUAGUUGGGGGUAUUCAUAUUUAAUUGUCAGAGGUGAAAUUCUUGGAUUUAUGAAAGAUGAACUUAGGCGAAAGCAUUUACCAAGGAUGUUUUCAUUAAUCAAGAACGAAAGUUAGGGGAUCGAAGACGAUUAGAUACCGU
rnacentral:rRNA from 1 species